AUUAGAUCUCAAAUCAGGUAGGACUACCCGCUGAACUUAAGCAUAUCAAUAAGCGGAGGAAAAGAAACUAACAAGGAUUCCCCUAGUAGCGGCGAGCGAAGCGGGAAGAGCUCAAAUUUAUAAUCUGGCACCUUCGGUGUCCGAGUUGUAAUCUCUAGAAAUGUUUUCCGCGUUGGACCGCACACAAGUCUGUUGGAAUACAGCGGCAUAGUGGUGAGACCCCCGUAUAUGGUGCGGACGCCCAGCGCUUUGUGAUACAUUUUCGAAGAGUCGAGUUGUUUGGGAAUGCAGCUCAAAUUGGGUGGUAAAUUCCAUCUAAAGCUAAAUAUUGGCGAGAGACCGAUAGCGAACAAGUACCGUGAGGGAAAGAUGAAAAGCACUUUGGAAAGAGAGUUAACAGUACGUGAAAUUGUUGGAAGGGAAACGCUUGAAGUCAGACUUGCUUGCCGAGCAAUCGGUUUGCAGGCCAGCAUCAGUUUUUCGGGGUGGAUAAUGGUAGAGAGAAGGUAGCAGUUUCGGCUGUGUUAUAGCUCUCUGCUGGAUACACCCUGGGGGACUGAGGAACGCAGUGUGCCUUUGGCGGGGGUUUCGACCUCUUCACACUUAGGAUGCUGGUGGAAUGGCUUUAAACGACCCGUCUUGAAACACG
rnacentral:rRNA from 1 species